rnacentral:rRNA from 1 species
GAUGAACGCUGACAGAAUGCUUAACACAUGCAAGUCUUUGGCGAAGCUGUGCUUGCACAGCCUAGCCAAGGCGGACGGGUGAGUAACGCGUAAGGGACUUGCCCUGCAGUCAGGGAUAACAGACGGAAACGACUGAUAAAACCUGGUAAAGUCAGGCGGACUCAUGUCCAGCCUGAUGAAAAGGAAUGCUGCAGGAGAGCCUUGCGUCCUAUUAGCUUGUUGGCGGGGUAACGGCCCACCAAGGCGAUGAUAGGUAGCCGGCCUGAGAGGGUGGACGGCCACAAGGGGACUGAGAUACGGCCCUUACUCCUACGGGAGGCAGCAGUGGGGAAUAUUGGACAAUGGGGGCAACCCUGAUCCAGCAAUUCUGUGUGCACGAUGAAGGUCUUCGGAUUGUAAAGUGCUUUCAGCAGGGAAGAAAAAAUGACGGUACCUGCAGAAGAAGCGACGGCUAAAUACGUGCCAGCAGCCGCGGUAAUACGUAUGUCGCGAGCGUUAUCCGGAAUUAUUGGGCAUAAAGGGCAUCUAGGCGGCCGGAUAAGUCUGGGGUGAAAACUUGCGGCUCAACCGCAAGCCUGCCCUGGAAACUAUGCGGCUAGAGUACUGGAGAGGUGGACGGAACUGCACGAGUAGAGGUGAAAUUCGUAGAUAUGUGCAGGAAUGCCGAUGAUGAAGAUAGUUCACUGGACGGUAACUGACGCUGAAGUGCGAAAGCUAGGGGAGCAAACAGG